rnacentral:lncRNA from 1 species
GGGGAACGGGCGGGAGCGGUGGGGUCGUCCGCAUCGUGCCGGGCAGCCCGGAGCGGGGGUGGCCGUGGCCGCGCGGUACUGGUCGGAAGGCCGGGUGGUGAAAGCUGGCGCUUCAGCCAAGCAGACGCAGCCCUGGAGGUCCCCAACCUGGUGCAUGUCAGGAUAAGGUGCUCCCGUUCGAAGCCUUUCCAGCUGCUUGCCUGGUGAAGCUCAUGCGGGGUUAGUCACGGCUGACGGAGCAGCCUGAGGGGUGGAGAGCCUGCCCAGGAAUCAGGAGGACAGCUUUCAGCUCUGCCUAAUGGGAAUCAGGCCUGCACCUUCACAGCGCUGCCCGGACCUCCCGCUGCCCCCGGGCCAGGGUAAUGGUAGCACAGGGAAGCUGUGGCCUGUCCUUCCUGGGAGCUAUCCAAAAGCUGACUGCACAUGGCCCAAGCUGACCUUACGGGAUCUGCUCUGAGCAGCAGGGAGUAGACUUGAUCUCCAGAGGCCCCUUCCAAGGUAAACCUGUUCUAUAACCUUAUGUUACAUCAGUAGAGUUUCAGGUCUUGUUACAAACUGGAAGGAUGCCCAAACCCAGAAAGCAAAUACUCCUUUGAGUACAAUACGCAGCGCUGUACGGCUGCUGCAAAUCAUGCCCUUUCCUUCCUGGCUGUAAACAUUUUGCAUGUAAGUUAUGUCACCCCAGAGAGCUAUUAGGGUAAGAUUACAUGCACCAUAUCUCCUGAAGAGCUGGAUUCUUAUCUGUCAACAAAGCUUACUGGCUUUCCUGUAAUCCUGUGAAUGUGCUUUCGUAGCCUUGGGCAAAACAUUUUUAGUUCAUCUGCUCUUCUGGUUUUGGCAAAUCUGCACAUGCUGCUGGUUGUGUCCCUGGUCCUGUAAACUCUCACACAUCUUCUUAGUUAGAUGGUCAUACACAGCCAGUCAUACUGAAGCGCAGAUAUUAGUAAGGCCAAGCCAUUGCAUGUGAGAUGGCACAUGGCCUGCAUUUGUCCGUCACUUAGCACUAGCUGGCUGUAUUAACUUGCCUAUACUGAGCUGCUUACCUCUGACUAGAGAACAUCACCAGCUGAAAUCAUUUCUAAUUAUGGUGUAUGUGUAUUAUAAAGUGCUGUUUUUGACGUAAGCUCUUACUGCUGAUUUUAAAGAGCGCGCCUAACGCUACCAGUGGGUUAUUGACCAAAACCCUCUCGUCUGUGGGGACAGACAACUGAUGAAAUCUGUGUGCAGACUUGGAACAAAUGAACCCCUAAUGGCCAAGGAACAAAUCAAUUUACAGAUGAUUAUGAAGUUAUUUAAAAAUAUCCCGAACAAUUCUGAAUAUAAACAACUUCUUGAACCCUGAAGAAGUUAAGAACUUCCUUUUAUCCAUUAUGACAGUGGGUGAGUACCACGACACAGGCAAUGUAUUCUUCCCUGAGGAGCAAUGGUAGAGAAUAUGCCACACGUGGUAUCAUAACUAACAUCAGUCACUGAGGUAAGGGCAGAUGCCGCCCUGGUGUGAAGGCUGUGCAAUGGAUAUGAUUUCUUCCUGUCCCUCCUGCCACAGCACCUUGCAGUCCUUUCUGUGGGCAGGAAGGAGAGGCCUGCCAGCUCAGCACAAGGCAGAGCUCCUCUGUAUCGUAACUGAUCUAUUGUGCAGAGAAGCUGAAGAGAAGACAAGGUGUCACACCAAGAAUCCAGAAAUGUAACUAAUCUAAUAUACCGAGGCUAAACUGGAUGAUAAAUUCUGAAAAAUUGACUUGAUGUAAUAGUCGUUUUAAAGGCAUCUUUAACGUAUUAAAUAUGUACUCACGAGACUCUGAUAUGGCAAAUUAAAGCGUAUGAAUAACCUCAUGCAGAUUCAUAAGCCGCAUAGAUAUUUGAUGGAAAAAGCUUAUAGGUUUGGAUAAUUCAAUAAAGCUUUGGCUGGAGCAGAAUUAAGUUAGGAUAUAAUGGCAUUUUCAUAUUAACAUUAAGUAAGUUUAAAAAAAGAAGUGAGAAAAAAGUUGAGUUGAGGCAAGGCAGGUAAUCUCUGCAGGGUCAGAUGUUGCCCACGGGGCUCAAUGGCUGUGGGCUAUGGCUGCUCAUUGUCUUCCAAAAGCCGUGGAAGGGAAAUUAGUCUCCGCAAUAUCAGAUCAUAAUAUCAUUUCUUAUCUGCAGUUAUGAGAAAUACCGGUCUUUAAUUAGCAACAUAAAUGAAAGUGGGAGAAAUUAUUAAAGGAAUGCCAUAGAGGUAAAAGUCUUUACCAGUUAUCCUGUUGAAAUCUGCCAAAAGCUGACAGGUACACUGAAGGAGGAAAUAAGACGCCCAUGCAAACCUCCACCUACAUCAGCUAACAGAAAGCAGAACUAAUUCUACCAAAGUCUUACACAUGGAGCAGGACAGUGGUGGCAGUGGGAGUUAAAGGGGCUGUGCAGGUUCUUUAAUGCAGGGGAUGCGAUCGCUGUGAUGCACUGCAGAGGGCAUGCAGUAAUUUCUGGCGUGGCUGCAGAGGGAGGUGCCCAUCUCCCCAGCACUGCUGACGCAGACGCUGUCAGUGAGGUGGAAGGAUUGCUGGGUACCGGUCUCCUUCUGUCUGUGGGUCUGCUCAGGUGCUGAUGGGUUAUUAAACCAUGAGCCUCUGCUGCAAUGUAUGCAGGCAGCUGUUAAACAAUCUGCAUUAAAUCGGCAAUUUUCUGAUCACAGGAGAGAGACUCAUGAGUACCUGACAAAACAUCAUCACUUAAAGGUUUCCAGCUUCAAAGCACACCGAUUUAUACUGAUGUGGAGACAGCCCACUUCCUGAAAACUCUACUCGGGUGUUUAAGUUGCAUCACUUCCUGAUCCAGACCCUAUAGUGGGAUUCCUUCUGCUGUCUGUGGAGAGCAGACAGUGCCGUUAUACACGGCCGGCACCUGCACUGUGUAAAGCAGGUUUCCAAAACGUGAUUUCAGAACAUCAAAAACGCCCACUUACAACAUGACUUCCAAUGCAAACGGUGCACAGGUACCGACACCCGAAGACUUCUAACUCUAAAAGUUCGUGCUUAGGGUAAACUUGAACUCCAAUUUCUUGUGUUGUUAAUCAGUUCUGUGGGUCCCACAUUAAUGCUGAACUGAGCAACUGCACUGCCCCAAAGGAUUGGUAAAAACUCAGAUAUGAGAACAGGGAAAUAGCAAAUCCCCUUUGCAGUAGGAGCCCGAGGAGAAACUGAAGCGGACCCUUUGGAGCACACUUACUUCAGGAUCACAGUUUUACUUUGCAGGAAAUGAUGAUGAGCACAGGGGCCUAAGAGAGAAAAGGAAGUACUUUUAAAGCACUUGAUUACAUUCAAGAGAUUUUAAAAAUGCACCUACUGUGUUGAAUUUCAACCGGUUCUUUGAAUAAUUUGUUAUUAAAAUGCCUGAGGACUCAUUCAUACACAGAACAUGUUUGACACCACUUCCCUGCGCACUUCAGAGCUGUCACCAGGCUGCUGGCUGCCAUGUCCUCAGCGAUGCGGUAAGCAGGGCCGCUCCCUGCUGCCUGUGUUCGCUCCUCCUCAGCUGGCCGUGGCGCCUGCACAGCCAUGAAGCGACACGAGCACCAGGAGGCAGAGGUGAAAAACAGAAUGGAAGCUAUCCUGAGCCUUUGAAACUUCUUUCUCAUGCUGAGAAAGGUGUUGAUUCAUUUCGUUUUAGGGUAUCUCUACAAGUAGGACAACCGAAGUUGACUUCUGAUUCCAGACCAAAGCUUGCUGACUUUGAUCCCAGGCAGAUCUGCAGUUUUAUCUGCAUGAUGACUACAGAGCAAUUUACAAUUAGCAGCAACGAUCUGCCUGUAAUGAACUUAUUUUUAUUUACGCUAUGAAUAAAUUCUGUAAAAAUUAAUUGUGCUCCUUCGCAAUCGGUUCCUUCCCACCCGUAUUCCUACAGUAAGUCCAUUAAAAAAAAACCUCUGUUCCUUGGAUUUUGCUCUUGCUGGGUUUUUUUGUGCAGGUGGCACUGACUGCACUCACAAGCGAGGCCGAUGUACAGAGCACUACCAUGAAGGCCACCUAUGUUCGUAGCACACGAUCAUUUAUAAGGUAACUUAAGAACAUUCUGAACCUCAAAGGGACGAUAUCACAGUUGCUGUUUUCAGUGCAAGUAAACAAUAACGUUCACCUGCAGGAAAUAAACACUUCAGCUAAGCACCAUGGUACUAAAAAGCCCAGCAAAGCAUUUAUUUUUGUAUUGCAGAGAGGUAAAACCAGUUUACUUCUGCAUCAGUGACCUCUACUUCUUCAGCGAGAGCCACAGAAUUCCAAUGUUUUCAUUUCCCCAAAUGCUGUCCUUCACCUCUUACUUACACUACUUUUCAUUAACUAGGAACAAAAUGAUCUCCUGUGCUUGUAGGGAGAGGUGACACAGGCAGCUAAGGCAGGUUUCAGAGCACCUACCUUCACUUGUCCAGAACUCAGCUCAUCUCAGCUUCUGGCCUCGCUCUGCAGUGUCAACAGAGAGAGGCACCUCUGGGGAUUUAUUCAAAUAUUCCAGACAUAUUUUAGGAUGAAGCAAACGACCGUAUGAGUGAGGAAGGGAGCCUGAACAGCCUAGCUGGAACACAGUCGCUUCCAUCUCCUCAGUUUUUCCUUCUGGACGUCACAGUUCCUCAGGCGAACCUUCCCAUCUGUUUGUGCCCUUCAGGCAAAUUCCAAGCCCUUCCAAAUGGAACAUUUUGGCAGCACUCCAUCCUCCACUCAGGGACAGUUGUUCACUCUACGGUCUGCAGUUUGCCUUCUACAGCGCAUCGCUUCCUCACUGUUCUUCAGUGGGACACAGCAGUGCAAAAGUGUCUCCUUGUGCCUCACACAGCAAUUCUCAACAGACUGGCACCGAAACACCAUUUACGAAGUACUGAAGUGUAACAACACCUAAUGCUGUAAGGAGAUGUAAGCACUUUAAAAGGAUUACUUUACACUCCCAUUAUUCACUGUCCUAGAAGAACACCCUCGUCCUGGCUUGCACAUUCAUUACCACUGCUAUUAGAAUAAAGCCAAUUGGUUAAAUAAUCAGAGUAUAUAAAUUUUAGCAAGCCUGCUGAAACCGAGACAAAUUGUUUCUGAUUCUGUGACUGAUUUUCUCUUUUUCUUAGCUGUAAAAAAACAAUAACACUUUUUAAGAGAGUCUGUUUCUUAUUAAGAUUUAGAAUACUCAUUUUUCUGAUAUCCGAGCUCCAAAAUAUGCAGCCCAAUGUUCCCUUACACCUCAAAGCUGAUUUAUUUGAAGAAGAAAAGUGCAUUACACUUUCCUGACAUCAUAAAUUCGAGGUUCCAGAAGACAGUAAAUAGCAGGUGCAGCUGCCUGUGUACUCUGAAUUCUAUUUCUUGCCCCACUGAUCUAAUGUCCUUACUGGAACGUGGGCUCUGGAAACAAAAGCAGUGACACAAGGUAUAGAAUACAGAUGCAACUUUUAAUUGUUUAUGUGUGGAUAGACUGACCACUCUUUGGGAGGAUGAAGAGUAGAACAAAUGAACAGGACUCCAACCCCCCAUUAUCUGUUACAGUACCUCCAAUGUGCCUGUGAAGCCUGUUCAGCAUGGCAGGGGUAGCACUUCACCACACAUGGUGUUUCUUGGACUACAUGAGCUGGCAUGACUUGCAUAAUUUGGCUGAUGUCGGAGGCAGCCAGUUUGACCUUCAGUAUGUUGCUAUGUAGUUGCUAGGGAUGCAACUUUUAUUAGAUAAAGCGCAGCUAAACAUCUGUUAUGACAAAACACAGAACUAGAAGAAAUAACCGAGCAUUUAGCCAGCAACUCCUACACCAGUCAUUUAGCCUGACCUGGCCUAUACCGUGCCACUGUGAAUAGACGAAUGGCAGCAAUUUCAUUGAUUUAGAGCUUAAAAAAAAAAGUAGAACAACCAACAGGAUGGACUGCGCCUCCAAUAAAGACUUCAUGUUCUAAAAUACUCUUAGAAGAGCAUACUUGUGCUUGUGUUCCUAGCGCAGCCAAUUACAAAAUGUGUUUUUCAGAAGCAAAGACACCUGUUUGAGAGACCUCAUGGCCAUGGCACAGAAUUUAGCUGCUGGCCUACCAGUAAAGCUGCAACAAUGAACAUACUUCACAUCUCUGCUUUCUGAAAUGCACUGAGAAAACAAGAAGCUGCUGUUUGUGUAUAUGGCUGAAUGCUACCUGCUUUGAUUCUGUUUGGAAAACCUCCAGGCGUUUUCCAACACCUUCAGUGGUCUUCUGGAGGUAUGUUUUAAAUUUCAACUCUUAAUUGCUCCCGUUAAAUGGCUCAGGAAUUAUUUACAGACUAUACUCACUUUUCAUAGAUCAGCAGUAUCUAACACAAUAUAUUCGGCAUAGGGGGCUGAGGAGGUAAAUUCGUGGUCCUGUGCUCUCUGACUUCAUGUACCUUCAGCUUGCUCUUCGAGACAUGGUGGAACCACUCUUGUGGCCUCAGUAAUUUCCUAGCAAGGCAGCAACUUAAUGAAAAUGAGAAACAGCCACAGUAAUUUUCUCUUUUUUAAAAAAAUUUAGGAAGAAAAGAUGGCUCAUGUCUGAACUGAGCAACUGAAACAUGGUUUUCAAGAAGACUAAGACUUGCUUAGACCACAGACUCACUCAUUGCUACUUUAGUAUGCAAUGUUUUUUUAGAGUCUAAAAUCAGUUUAUCUUUGUCACAGUAAGAAUGAAAGAUGAUUUUCAACAAAUAGAGAGAAUGCAAACUGUUUUCCUCCCCUUUGCAACAUUUCAGCUCAUCAGGCCGUACACCAUCACAAAGGAGAUGACAAAAACAGCAAAGCCAAAGCCUCUUGCACUGGCACAUCUGCCUGCACGUCAGGCUGCCUGGAGUUGUAAACACUUUAAUAUUGCAUAAGUCAGAUGGGUAAGGUCUCUCUUCAAAGAUCUUCAGCAGCAGUAACCACGGGCAGUAGCAGGCAUUUAUCAUUUGCCUUUCGCUCAGUAAUAAAGGCACAGCCUUUCAAACCCAAUUAUGUAGUUGCCUUUGUGGAAGUUAAGUCGACGUGCAAACUGCUGUGAUUUGAAGAGUAACGUAGCAAUUCUUUACUAUUUACUUUACUAUACAUAAGACCAUGGAAACACAAACGAGUUUUGAGUUAUAUCUAGUGAUGAAGUAAGUGCUAUUCAUCUCUGUUACCACUUCACUGUUCUUCAAAAAGAACAUGAGAACACUUGAGAAAAACAAGUACUUAUAAGCAGAAGUAUCAUAGAAUCAUAGAAUGCCUUGGAGUGGAAGGGGACUCGAAGAUCAUUUAACAGGACUACGUUGUUGCUGUGAGAUCUGGUCCAUCAUAAUCCUCAAAGGAAGACAUAGAAGAAAUCCUUCAACAGGGAACAGAUUCUUUAUUGGACAGAUUCCAAAGUUUUAUGUAGAAUACUGGAAUGGCAUAACAGCCACUGACAUUUUCAGUAUAAUACUGCAACAAACUGUCUAUUAUGACUUGUUCAGGAGUAAAAGCAAUUAAGCUGGCAUAAUAACAUACCAAACAGACAAGGCUGAUGAGACUGCAGUGCUGCUCAAAUACAGCUGUGACUCAGACUGGAUAAACACACCAAGUAUAGUCUAGGUUCUGCACGGUGUGUGUCACUGUACUGUACAUCUGGCUUUGAUUUUUUGCCAAGCUAUAAGCUGCUCUAUCUACACAUUAAGUAUUGCAGAAGGAAGUACAGUGCCCACCAGAAGUGGAAGUAAUACGAACUGACUGCAAACCAAAUCUUGUUUUUACCCCCUCUUUGUUCCUCUGUAGGUUACCUACAAUAUUUGUCUGUUGCAGAAAGCCAUUGGGUUGUACUGGCCGUUUCUGAAAGACAACAGCUAACAGUCCAACUUACUUUUGAAAUGCUGCAUGGCAGUACUUAGUCAACUCAGAGAGAACAACACAUUCAAGUUUAAGGUAACAGCACAGUACACAAUGAAGCUACAGUUUAUGUUCAUUGUUUACCAUUUUGCCAAAGUUAAAUACAACACUAUUGUAGAGAAUCUUCGUAGAAACACAGCAGUUUUCACUGUCUCCCACCCACCUUUUAAACCCAUCAUUUGAGGCAUUCUGACGUAUACCAUAGCAGGCAUCUGGACUGCAGCUGAGAAACAGAAUCCUGUGUCAUCUCAGACACAUAUAGAAGGGCUUUAAACAAAAAAAGCAGGGCUUUAAGUUUGGUUGGCUUAAGAUACUCAACAUCAGCCAAGUGAAGAUAUUCAUGCAUCAUUCCAGUUCAGUCCAGUGUGGAUUAUAAAUGUCACACUCCAUAACCAAAUAAUAACACAAAAACAUAUUCUUGGGAUGGAAGAGUUUCAGGAGGCACUACAGAAGUCUGAGAAAAACUGAAAUGUCAAAAAAAGUUAAAGAAAAAAAGUUAAAGAAAAAUUAAUAUACAAGUUCAGCAAUAACUUUCUUCUGAAGCUUGUAGGACUCACACACACCGGCUCUAUGCAGAAGAACAACCAUACACUUUCUAAACAAAAGAAGCAAACUGGUUGCCAGUACUAUUCUAUAAUGAUAAAUUUCAACUUUUUCACUUCUUGAACGGAAGCAUUAAGAAGCCUCUCUUGGAUAAACUUCAAUGAAUUUCAGAAUGCAUGCCUUUCCCUGAGGCCAAAAGGUGCUGGAUUCCUGUUAAGUAUUCUUAGCUUCAAAAACUGAAGAGGACUGAAUGCAUCUUGAGCACAGAAAAAUUAGUCAGACCUGCCUAUUAAAGAGAUAAGAUAAAAAUGGAUUUUUAUUACCUCUCCACGAACAAGAACAAACACUUUGAUAGUUAAUUUCAUCUAGAAGAUAAUAUUAUAAUAAUAUUAUAACAAUAUAAUAAUAUAUUAUAAUGUUAUCUAGAAGAUAAUAUAGCAACAUAUUAUAUGAUCCUAAGAGGGACGUGUUUAAAUCAAUCAAGAAAAUUCUUUGAGUAUAGUACAGCUACUGUAAAUACUUCUCCCUACAGCGUGCUCCCACUCAAAUCCUUACGUUCCCCAAAUAUAUGCUGCAAUGUUUAGGGGUAUGCAAAACACCCAACUCCAAAACAUACUGUAUUUAAUACUUAAUGCUAAGACUCUUCUUAUGGGAUGGAGGAAUUACAGUUACAUGUAAUGUUUACAGUAUUUAUGACUGCAAAUUCAAAUCUUAACUUUGUAGCACGUUUUUCUAUUUAUCAUGUUUCAAAUAACAUAAGCUUGAAAAAUGUCUUAAAUUGCUCUGUGUCUAGCACGGUUAAAGUGAAGACGAGAUACUCACUGUUGCAGGUUUCUCAGUUCAGAAGGCAGGUCACAACCUAUGUAAGCAUUAUUCAUUAAACUGUACUCUAAUAGUGCACAAAAACAGGGAUCCUACAAGAAAAGAUUAAUGUUUAAUACAAACGUUACUCUGUGUAAUGAACUUGCCAACAAAUUAACAUGGCACACAAAUGCAGAACAUUUCAGAGGACCUUUUCCAUAAACAGAACAGCACAAACAGUGCAAGCAUGGAGCAACAUCGCAGGAAGAUACCUUCAGAUGUAUUAAGUUACAUGUGUUGCAUGUACGUGUGGGGAAACUACACCUCCCAUUCAGUCAUUUCAUGAAUACUGUUCUGUCGAGAAGGUCAGAAAGAACCAUGCAUGAGCUCAAAAAGGAGACCUCUUCAGCAGGUGGUUACAUUAAUUGGGAGUAAUCACUUCUACCUCUCUCCAUUUAAAAAUGAAAAUAAUUGCAUCAGAUAGUCCCCUCCAAAUUAGUCAUUUACCAUGGCAAAUACCAUACAUGAUUCAAAGAUGUAAGAAGAAAACAAAAACAACUUACUUUCACAAGAAGAUGAGGAUUUCCUAUGACAAUCAGCAAAGCUUUUGCUCUAGUAAUGGCCACAUUGAAUCUCUUUGGGUUAGAGAGAAAGCCCAAACAGUAUUCCUCUUCAGCAAAUGUGUCUUCAUAAGAUCGCACCUACAAAUCACAGAUACAGAUUUAGAACUGGAAUAAUGAGAAACCAACUUACUUUGUAACAGUGUAACUUUCAU